AACCAUAGAAACCUGCGGAGUACCUGCGGAAGGAUCAUUACCGAGUUUACAAACUCCCAAACCCUUUGUGAACCUUACCUAUCGUUGCUUCGGCGGGAUCGCCCCGGGCCGGCCCUUCACGGGGCCUCCGGAACCAGGCGCCCGCCGGAGAACCCAAACUCUUUGUUUUUAUGGUUUUCUCCUCUGAGUGGAUUAUAAACAAAUAAAUCAAAACUUUUAGCAACGGAUCUCAGAUCGGAA
rnacentral:misc_RNA from 1 species